GAGUUGCAAAAGGCAGAAGUUACAUUUCCAUAAGACAAGGGAGCUGGGAGUACCAAAAUAUCUAUAUUUACAAAAUAAAGAAGGAGGAAGAAAGCUCAGAGGGAAUAGGAGG